CAUAUAUUAUCGCCCAAUCCACGUAAAUAUACUUUUGAAAACACUGCUUUAUAUUACGUUUUGUGCAUAAUCUACGACUCCUGGUGCAGCAGUAAUACAGAUUUUCCACAAUAUAUUGUAGCAGCUUAAAGUACGAGAUAUAGGAUUGCUUCGAAGCCAAGUACUUAUUUGAUUAGACAACUUGCAUUCCAAUAUGUGGUCUGUCAUGAACAAUGAGAUUUGUGGCCAGUCAUGAGACAUUUGGAGUUAAAUGACAAAUCAGUGUUCAGUUAGGAAAAGAUGAGAAUACACAAGUUAAAACUUCUAUUCUUUUCAAUAGUAAUUUUUAUUUUAUAUAUUUCUUAUAAAAUCCUACAACCAGAAAUAAAGGAGAAUCGUGGCAGAAGAGAACUUGUCGGGGAUGAGGACUACAUAAAUGUUGAUACUCGAAACAAUAACAAAAGAGAUGAUAUUUUAAAGGUAGAUAGUAAUAAAAAUGACAGAGUUAUACCUCCAACUCGGCCUGAGUUUGGUCAUGUGGUGGAAAGCCAGGAAAAAAUUGACGAAACUCAUUUGAGAAAUAGUCAAGAAAAAGAAGAAAUCAAUCCAAGAUUUGGUCAUAAUAUUGAUCCAGGUUUGCACCAAGUACAUCAUGACAUUAAAAGUGACCAUGAUACAAAUCAAGAUAUAAACCCACGAUUUGGUCAUGCCGUCUUAGAAAAUGAUGAUGACUAUCCUUUAGGGGCCAAGGAUCAUAAUGACAAUAACCCUAACAAUAUUAAGGGUGAGAUGGUCGCAGAUCAGCAAAAACUUCUACGUAAACUAUUAGGAACUUAUGAUAUUGAUGUCGGGGUUGAAUUAGAUCAGGGAAUAUCACCAUGGAGAUUUGCUGCCAGACUUGUGACGUCACGACAGAUACACCCAGAUAACUUCCCCGAACUAGGUGCAAUAUUACAUGAAAUGUCUACUAGAAGGAUUCUAGCAGCUGACGUUGGCUACAAAGGGACUCAACUGAAACUUUCAUUAUUACUAGAGGGUGGUCAGAAAGUGGCUUUUAAACCAAAGUGGUUCUCUCGGGACCAUGUUAUUGUGGGGCAACCAUAUGAUGGUGCUGAUCGACACAAUGGAGAAAUAGCAGCCUUCCAUCUUAAUAGAUUAUUGGGUUUCAACAGAUCUCCUCUUGCAGUAGGACGAGUGGUUAACUUAGAGAAAGAGAUAAAACCUGUUGCCUCUGAACGUUUGCUCAACACAUUUUUUUACAAAGAUAAAAACACAUGUUUCUAUGGGAAGUGCCUGUACUGCAGGGGUGAGCAAGAUGGUGUCUGUGGUGAGGGGGCAUCACUCGAGGGCACUAUAGUCCUAUGGUUGGAUUCAAAAUGGAAGUUUGGUAAACAUAUACGUCACCCCUGGCAAAGAACUUACAAGGAUGGGAUACAAGCAAGGUGGGAGUAUGACAACAAUUACUGCAACAAUGUAGUGAAAGUUACGUCACCAAAUAACAAACCACCACGACUACUUGACCUCUUAGAUGCUAAUGUGUUUGAUUACAUCAUCGGGAACGCAGAUCGUCAUCAUUAUGAGACAUUCCUCAAUCACUCAGACAGCAUGGUUGUCAUGUUAGAUAGUGCAAAGAGCUUUGGCAACCCAUACCUUGAUGAGCCCAGUAUAUUAGCCCCUCUUAGGCAGUGCUGCAUGUUGCGUAAAUCAACUUGGCGUCGACUGAAGCUUCUCCAAAAUGGUAUCCUAUCUGAAGUAAUGCGAGAAAUACUUUCCAAGGACCCCAUAGCACCUGUACUAACUGAGCCUCAUCUUAUGGCAAUGGAUAGAAGACUAGCAACUAUAGUUAAUGCUGUAAAUCUGUGUAUUGCGAAAAAUGGAGAAAAAGUUUUACAAGAAGAUAGUUUUUCUAAAUUACCUGAGCCUUUCUAUAGGUGAUGAUUUAAAGCAUGGCUAGUCUUUCUAUUUUUAAAGGUUUAUAUACUAAACGUUUUUCUAUAUCAGAUUUAAUUUUUCUGGAAUAUAAAUACUGUUAGCUGUUCAACAGAUUACCGAAUUCAUGAGUCUACGCACAGUGAUAUAUAAUCAUUUUUUUUAGUUUAGUUUAUUAGUCAUUGAUGUGCAUUCUGAGAUUAUUAGGUCUUUGCCAUCAUCAUGUGGUAUGUAAUUCAUCUCAUAUUGCAUCAAAGUCAAUGGAAAACUAACAAUGUUAUAGUACAUCAUUAGACACUUCAAACUAGGACAAUAUGCUAGAUUGAUUGAAUUCAGACGAAGUUUACAUUCGUUAAAACAAUCUCAGGUUCACA
rnacentral:misc_RNA from 1 species